AAGCAAUCAGAGAAGAUUAUGCACGUGGGAUAGUGAUGUUGUUCCCUUCCCUCAAAGAUCCAUACUCCAAGAAGGGCUAUGAACACUUCUAUGAUGCUGCAAGCAGCACAGGAUACAUUUCUUGGCGUCUGAAAACAGUCCAGAGGAAGAUUCGUCGAGGAUCUGCAUUGCCACCAAAUAGCCCAAUUGACUUUUCUCCAGGGGGCCCAAAUUUCCAAAGGACUGUUAAUGUUGAAAGGCAGCUUGAUGGUGAUGCUUGCCAAGAGGCCAUGUCUUUGCUCAACCAUACCACAGACAAUUCCCUGAUUUUCCAGAAGAUGAGACCUUUCAGCACCGUCAGAAGCUCGUUAAUGACCCAGGCAGAAGUGUUGAUAUCCUCUCCAGCUUCCCAAGAUUCCUGGAUACAAAAGGAUUGGUGGACCAAGACUUCACUCUCCUAUUUGAUGGCGACACAUCCUCCAGGCUUCUUCAGAAAUGGGAUUUGUUCUUCAAGCCAAAUGUCAUAAAAGAGGCUAAGCGGCUCACCUCAACACCAGAGUUGCGUCGCUUGGUGCAGUCAGCAGAAAGUCCCCCAGGAAGUGAU